GAUGAACGCUAGCUGCAGGCUUAACACAUGCAAGUCGAGGGGUAGCAGGGUAGCAAUACCGCUGACGACCGGCGCACGGGUGAGUAACACGUAUCCAACCUUCCCAUAACUCGGGGAUAGCCUUUCGAAAGAAAGAUUAAUACCCGAUAGUACUUAUAUAGGGCAUCCUACAUAAGUUAAAGAUUUAUUGGUUAUGGAUGGGGACGCGUUCCAUUAGAUAGUUGGUGAGGUAACGGCUCACCAAGUCUUCGAUGGAUAGGGGUUCUGAGAGGAAGGUCCCCCACAUUGGUACUGAGACACGGAGCAAACUCCUACGGGAGGCAGCAGUGAGGAAUAUUCGUCAAUGGGCGAGAGCCUGAACCAGCCAAGUAGCGUGAAGGAUGAAGGUCCUAUGGAUUGUAAACUUCUUUUAUAGUAGAAUAAAGUGAUCCACGUGUGGAUUUUUGUAUGUAUACUAUGAAUAAGGAUCGGCUAACUCCGUGCCAGCCGCCGCCGUAACAC
rnacentral:rRNA from 1 species